CUUUUUAAAAGUCUGUAUCAAAGUGGGUUUUCUUUAUUACUCGCUUGUAUAAUUUUAGAAAAAAAAAACAUAGAAAUAUACACAAAAUUCGAAAUGAUGUGGUUUCUCUUUAGCUCUGUUUGACAAGGCCUCAUGCAGGUGGGCUUUUCUCUUUCAACUCAAAACCUAGCAGAAAACUCAAACAAACGUCAACAUUGCUACAUUCUGUCCAUUACUUCCCCCUAUGUCUACACCUUAUCUUCAUUGUUCUAAUCUUUAAUCUAUUUGUAAUUCUUUUAUGUUUGAAGAUUUUCAUUCAAAGGAUAGAAAAAGAGAUAAUUAAUAUUGGACUGGAAGUGAUUCAAAAGCCUAAAACAAACUAUUGCCUCCCUCUGUUGGCAGGGUAGAAAUUAGGUCGUGUUACAAUGUCUAGCUGCAAGGCUUCACAUGAGAAUCAUAUUUAGACUAAAUGUACGCACCCUACUUUCAGACUGUGGGUGCAAUAUCCCCAAAUAUUUUGACUAAGCGUAUAACAAUAUUGAUGAUCACAGUUAAUAAAAACCUAGUUUAAAAAACAAACUAAGUUGAUUAUAGUUAUGUGUAUCUUGUUCUGUAAAAAAUAUAAUAAAGUUUCUUUAAUGACUUACUACAAGUUUUAAACUAGGUAUUUUUUUUAAAUGUAUAUCAUUUUAUAGACAAUAUUAUGAAUAUUGAACAUAUACAGCAGCAAAGGAUAGAAAAAAAUAACAAAAGAGCAAAAUAUUCACAAUCAUACACACCUGUAUUGAUGUUACUAAAUUCAAAGAUGGAUUUAAAUAUGAAAAAGUUGGCUUCUAAGCAGUGUAUGCCUUAAAAAACAAUUUUUCUUCUCUGCAAACUAACAAACAUACGGCUUUCUCCUGUUUUUACCAAUUCUACUCUUUAUGUUGGCACAUAGAUCAUCAUAGAUUGAAAGAUGCUAGAUCUAGCUAAAAAGACAUCUCAUUUGUCGUCCAAAGCGGCCUAUCCCUACUCGUGACAAUAAUGCGAACAUAGAGUGCAUGUCAUGAGACAAUGAACAAAUUUGUGGUUGCUUGCGUGUUGCAGCUGUGUGUGGGGGGG